rnacentral:snoRNA from 1 species
GAGUUAGUGCUGACUAUAAAAAUAAUCUUUCAUUCUGACUUGUUUAAUUUUGGUAUGACAAACAUCUUAUUAUGAUCAUAGAAUCUGAGCUAU